UGAUUAACUCUCAAAUAGGCGCUUCUUAUUGGAUGACAUUUCCACUUAACUAUGAUUAACUUUAAUCACUUUUUUUAUACAACCGGUCCCUGGAAAUUAUUAUUCCCAUGCAUUUUAUCCUCUUAUAGUAUGGGUCUUAUUUUGGAAUGGCAAUUUGUGCUGCUGAUUUUAAUGGUGAUAGGUAAGUGAUUUUAUAUACGAAUAUUGUAUAAUGAAAUCAGUGACGGACACUGUCGCCUCUCCCAAAACCUGCAAACCUUUGAAUGUAACCACAGCUGAAACAAUGAUUUCAUAACAGUGAAAGUCUGGAUAUAGGUUAUAAUUUAUGAAGAUUUGCGUAAAAUUUAAGCCCAAAAGUCCUAGUAUAUGUUGACGGUCACCCCCCAUGCAAUGCUGUAUUUUGUGAAGUAAAACAUAGAGUUCAUGCAUUUGAAAAACCUCAGAUUGCCAGUAAUAUUUGGUUAUGUUGUGCUGCUAUAUACGUAAUCAUUGUACUUUUAAUUAUUAGCAUUUCUGAAAUCGUCGUCGGAGCUCCAUAUUUCGCCGAUUCUGUUGGCUCGCCAAGCAUUGGAAAAGUUUAUGUGUACAGUAUUAAGGUUGGAAACACGUACUGUGUAUUGAAAAUACUCGAUCUCUAAAUUUGUGUUGAAACCAAGA